GGGGAUUUCCGCACCACUGCAAUGAUUUCACGUGAGUUUUGAAAGUCCUUUGCAAAGGCAUUGACUGUGCAAUGUCAUUGUACUGCCUGCUGUAUGAAAAAUUGCUAGGGAUGGAGAAAUGUCACCAAAAGCCCAGAGAUAGUCUGAUAUUGGUCCCUGCGAUAUCGCUUUGUUUUUAGAUGAGUGAACUUUCCCUGGAGAAAUUUAAGGGCUAAUGUGUGCUUGGUGUUGUAUGAUCUAGAUCAGUAUUGUGAUAGUGGGAGAAAUAUCUUUUACUGCAGUGUCUAAACAUAAUUCCUAGCACGAAUGGAGAGACACUGACAAAAAGGAGUCUGUAAUAUUUUUAGUUGUGUGAGACACGUGCUGUGGUACUUACUGCUAGCCACCAUGGUCUCCUGGCUUAAGGCUGCAACAUGAUGUUUUCCAUUAAGAAAAAAAUAGGAGCUCAGAGACAAGCUCAGUCCCAGGGCAGGACCUGCUAAGCUUAAAGCACCCUGUUCCUCCAGGAACAGAAAAGAUUCUGCCUCGUUCUUGAGGGACUUAUCUCAGGGCUCAAGUUAACUGCUAGGAGGUUCUCCCUAACAGCCAGCCUGUAUCACCUUUGAAGCAAAUUCAAAUAUUAUUUGUCCUCUCCAUAGUAAUAUGGAAAAAGGACACUCUUUGUACCAUACUUUUUGAGUUAUAUUUUACCUAUCACACCUUCUUAUAGCCUUUCCUAUGCUAAACAACAGUCUUAUUUCAAACUUCUCUUACAAUUUGCUCCCAUUGAAAAAGUCAGGCCCAAUCAAAACCAUGCAAAACCACCAAUCCUUCCUUGAAAUACAGCUCAGUAUUCUUGCAUUAUUAGCUUUUACCAGCGCUAGGAGGUGCUCCCACAUAAAGAAGUCCUACAGUAGACUCCACUAAAACAACAAAAACCACCUACUGAUAGAGAUGGGAGACUCCUUCCUUCUUAAGUGCUGCUGCCUACCUAAUUGGGAUGCUCACAGAGUAUAAACCAGCCAUUUCCUACUCUGCUGGAAUUGUAAUGAAUUGUAGUUAUCCUAGUGGGCUUAAACAAUUGCUGCUGCUUGUGUAGAUAGUUCUUGCCUUUUAUAGGUGCUCUGGGGGGAGAGUAAAACAUGUAUAGCCUGUUCCAGCAGCAUCCAGGGUGAGUAGUCCACUGAUCUGAUCUUCCAAAGGUAUUUCUUUAAACAGCUUGCUCACUGUAGAAUUGUUAUGAUGACUUUUAGAUGUCUGUGUUGCCAGGUAUAGGACAAGUUUAAUAUUUCCCUGUCAGUAUAGAUAAACAGGCAGUAUUCAUUGAGUUCUUUCUUGUAUGUAAAUAUGAGCAACAAAGAGAGGUUAGUGGGGAAAGGUGAACUACAGCUCUGUCCCUACAGGUGUAGUAUAACUCAGAGUGAAAUUAUAAUUCCAUAUGCUUACUGUGAUAAAGAUUCAGCUAAGGAUGCGGGAGUCAAAGAAUGGAAGGAGGAUGUAAAAAAAAGCAUUACUAGCUAUGUAUGGGUACUUUAAAGUGUGACUGUGUAUGAACUGGUCUAGCAAUGAAAACUAAUUACCUGACUUUUCAUCAUCUUUUCUUCCAUAACUAUGUAUCAGUUGUUUCAUGGAUCUUAAAUAGCCAGAUACUCUGAAACAUGUUGUUUGACUGUAAGGCUUCUACUGAGAUCAUGCCCAGGAGCAGCAAAAAUCAUGCUGGGAGCUCAGCAGAUUUGGAUCUACAGCAUGACUCCUCAAAGCAAUCUGUAUCAGGAGAGAAAAAAAAACUAACAUGGCAGCAAGCAAGGUUUAAAGAUGUGUAGGUGUUGGUAGUCUCUGAUGAGCUGUCUGUACUUAAUUCCCUCUCAGCUGACAUGGUAAGCAUGUCCUGAGAAUGGAUGCUAUAGCAACUUGGGGCCUAACUCCUCUUUGUGUGGGGAAGAAUGCAAAUGAAGGGAAAUAACUGAAGGGAAUUGGGCUUAAGAAAGCUCCGACCACUGCUAGACUGUUCCGACCUUGCUGGGGCUCUUGCAAAAUGUUAGAACUGUGACCUCCCAGAAGUUAGAUGUUGGUUGCAGCACAGUGCCUGCUUUUGAGUGGGAUGUGAAACUGAGGGUGUGCCAUUCCCUGUGUCCUUGUGAAUCCU